rnacentral:misc_RNA from 1 species
AACGCACCUUGCGCUCCUUGGUAUUCCGAGGAGCAUGCCUGUUUGAGUGUCAUGAAAUUCUCAACCUAACGAGUCUUUGCGGGCUCGGUAGGAUUGGACUUGGAGGUUCUUGUCGGCCUGCUUUAGCGGGUUCCGGCUCCUCUCAAAUGCAUUAGCUUGGUUCCUUGCGGAUCGGCUCACGGUGUGAUAAUUGUCUACGCCGCGACCGUGAAGCGUUUGGCGAGCUUCUAAUCCGUCUCACUAGAGACAAUACACUUAUGACCUCUGACCUCAAAUCAGGUAGGACUACCCGCUGAACUUAA